rnacentral:lncRNA from 13 species
UGGGGGGGGGGGGGGGGGGGGGGAAGCUGUGGUUCACUGAGUGAAAAGAUAGCUCUGAGUGUGACUGUGUGAGGCUUGAAGCGGAAAGCUGAUGUUUGACAGGCGCUUCGAUGCAUAGCAAAAUUGUAAUUAUCGUAAACCAACGACAGCGCUUCAUUACAAAUAUUCUCUGUAAAACGCAGUACAAGUGAUUUACUCUGUUACUCAGCAAACAUGUUAAGAUUGCAGCUCCAACGCCAAUGUUAUUUCUGACGCCAUAUCGCUGUAUACUUUCAAUCUGCAUUGGUUGUUGAGGACUAUCAAUUAUCGUUGUAGAGAAUACAUGUGUCCACAGUUUCAGUGUGUUUGCGUGUGCGUGUGAGAGACUAUUGUCUGUGCGUCUGAAUGCGUAUCCUGCAUAUCCGUGUCUUACAUUACAAUAGACAAACCAUCCUCUCUCUCUUUCUAUGACAGUUGGCUUGGGUACUCCCAUCUCACCAUGGGCUCGGUAGUCAUUUCUACACUCUAAAAAAUGAGGGGUUCAACAAGGGUUCUUCUAAGAUCUUCAAAGUUCUUCGAAGAAAAUUGCCCCCAAAAAGGUUCUUCCAAGAACCCCGUAGGAGGUGGGGUUCAUUGAGGAACCUCCUUAGUUGGUGGGGGUUCUUGCAGGAACCUAACUGCCCAACUGAAACAUUUGGAUUUGAAUGUGAAAGGAGAGCAGGUGCAGGCACUUAACUGAAAAAUGUAAAGAUCUCCUCAAUUUAAGGUAAGUUAUGUCCCUUGUAUGAUCUAAACGUAUAUUGUUUUAUGAUGAUACCAUCUAUCUUUUCAGAUUUGUGCAAAUCUUUCUAAAACUGAAAAUGGACAAUUUAAAGGAUAUCAAAUCAACAAAGAGGUGAGACUAUGUAGGCUAUAGGAAUAUGGUGAAGGCUGUAUUGGGUGCAAAUGACUGACCUGCUGACUUUUGUGUCUGUGUCUGCAGGUUUACAGACGAGGAGGCAUACAAAGGAAACCUAUUCGAUCACCAUGUCCUGCAAAAUCAUUCUGGCUAUGGAUACGGAGAACAUCAACACAUUAACAUCAACACGCCAGAGGAUAUACCCAUUGGACUUGGGGCUCUGCUGGGAUUUUACCUCAUAUUUAGAUUUUUUAUUCUGCUAUGCCACUAAAAUCAUAAUAAACACUGAGAACUAAAAUAUUGUGUUAUUGUUGUUAUGCAUAUUAUUAUUAUUAUUAUUAUU